AGCGAACGCUGGCGGCAGGCCUAACACAUGCAAGUCGAACGAACCUUUCGGGGUUAGUGGCGGACGGGUGAGUAACACGUGGGAACGUGCCUUUAGGUUCGGAAUAACUCAGGGAAACUUGUGCUAAUACCGAAUGUGCCCUUCGGGGGAAAGAUUUAUCGCCUUUAGAGCGGCCCGCGUCUGAUUAGCUAGUUGGUUGAGGUAAUGGCACACCAAGGCGACGAUCAGUGGCUGGUCUGAGAGGAUGAUCAGCCACAUUGGGACUGAGACACGGCCCAAACUCCUACGGGAGGCAGCAGUGGGGAAUCUUGCGCAAUGGGCGAAAGCCUGACGCAGCCAUGCCGCGUGAAUGAUGAAGGUCUUAGGAUUGUAAAAUUCUUUCACCGGGGACGAUAAUGACGGUACCCGGAGAAGAAGCCCCGGCUAACUUCGUG
rnacentral:rRNA from 1 species